UAAAGUUAGAAUCGAUUUGGUACCUCAAGAGAGGUUUAAGGGAAGGCGGUGGAAUUCCGCCACAGCCCCGCUACUGUAAGUGGCUACGAAAGCUUUAAAAAACCACUGUCCCGAUCCAUAUGGAUGGCUGAUGAUUCAUGGCGAAGGGUUUUAACCAUGAACUAUGAACCGUGAACUGUGAACCGCAGUUCGCUGGGAUGGGAAGGCAAAGCAAGUAGGUUUGAAGCCACAAAGUCAGGAGACCUGCCAGAUCAAAUCCCUGAAG
rnacentral:ncRNA from 2 species